rnacentral:rRNA from 1 species
AGUGAACGCUGGCGGUAGGUCUAACACAUGCAAGUCGAACGGCAGCACAGUAAGAGCUUGCUCUUACGGGUGGCGAGUGGCGGACGGGUGAGGAAUACAUCGGAAUCUACUUUUUCGUGGGGGAUAACGUAGGGAAACUUACGCUAAUACCGCAUACGACCUACGGUUGAAAGCAGGGGAUCUUCGGACCUUGCGCGAUUGAAUGAGCCGAUGUCGGAUUAGCUAGUUGGCGGGGUAAAGGCCCACCAAGGCGACGAUCCGUAGCUGGUCUGAGAGGAUGAUCAGCCACACUGGAACUGAGACACGGUCCAGACUCCUACGGGAGGCAGCAGUGGGGAAUAUUGGACAAUGGGCGCAAGCCUGAUCCAGCCAUACCGCGUGGGUGAAGAAGGCCUUCGGGUUGUAAAGCCCUUUUGUUGGGAAAGAAAAGCAGCAGGUUAAUACCCCGCUGUUCUGACGGUACCCAAAGAAUAAGCACCGGCUAACUUCGUG